CAGGCCACGACACGCCUUGGGCUCUCCUCGAUGCGAUUUGUGAGGCAAGGCUCGCCUUCUUCCACGCACCCAUGGAGGACAAUCUCCAGUUCACCUGAGAUGGGACUCGUCCCGGGCAAAAAACAACUGAUGGCACAAAGUUGCCACCAGCAGCAGUUGAUCUGGGAUUUCCACGAGCCGGAACAACGUUCGUCCGGUCCCUUCAAAUCUCCUGACCUAGGUGCACAUGGUAUGGCUGGCCUGCUCAGCUUGCGUGCCGGUCCGAGGAGUUCACCGUCACUUGCCCGGUCGUCGUCCGCCUGGGCGUCACCGGCUUCACAGGUGGUGGUUCGUCUGACAAGCCCACAGUUUCGCUGUGCCAGACUUUGUAACAGCCGUAGUCUACUAGCAGCAGCAGUCAAGAUCUCUAAGGACGGCUCCUCUGCGGUUCUGGCCAACAGCCUGCCUUUCAAAGGGGCUAUUAAUUGCGGAAUGCUGAUGCGGUAUGUUUUGAUGUUGAUAGCACCGUUGAUAGCACCGUCAUCCUAGACGAGGGCAUUGACGAGGAUACUAAUUUCUGCGGGGCUGGGAAAGCAGUUGCUGAAUGGACUGCAAAGGCCAUGAUAGGGACUGUUCCGUUGAGGAGGCGCUGGCAGCCAGGCUGUCUUUAAUCAAGCCAUCUCUCUCCCAGGUGGAAGAGUGCCCGGAGAAGAGGCCACCAAGGUAAGAUCGCCAUAUUCUGAAGUUCAUGUUAAGCACAGAUAUUCGUGUCAGGGAAAAUGGUAAGUUUAAAUUCUCUGUAUAUGUGAUGCUGUACUUUUUAAGCAGUUAUAUUAGGUAUGGCUCUUACUCUGUACCAGAAGAAGAUGAGCUAUUUAUGUUUUAGUUGUCAUAGCUGUUGAAAUUUAGUGUGAACA